rnacentral:rRNA from 1 species
UUCCAUUUAUGGAAGUAAGACCCCUGAGAGAUGAUCAGGUAGAUAGGUUGGGAGUGGAAGUGUAGUGAUACAUGGAGCGGACCAAUACUAAUCGGUCGAGGACUUAACCA